rnacentral:SRP_RNA from 1 species
GCCGGGUGUAGUGGUGUGUGCCUGUAAUCUCCAGUUACUGGGAGGCUGAGGCAGGAGAAUUGCUUGAGCCUGGGAGGCGGGAGGUUGCAGUGGCGGAGAUGGUGCCAUUGUGUUUGGUUUUUUAUUUUGAGAGAAGUCUCUUUUUCCCCAGGCUGGAGUGCAGUGGUGCAAUACCGGCUCACUGCAACCUCCUUCUGGGUUCCAAAAGAUUCUCCUGCCUCAG